rnacentral:rRNA from 1 species
ACUUGACCUCAAUCAGGUAGGACUACC